GUGUGUAAUUAUUUUUGUAAUUCAAGUUUUUUUAUUGAAUUUUAGCUUUGGCACAUGACAGUACACAUACAGAGACAUUUCUUUUUACAGUUCAAAUAAAGUCUUUGCCAUAAAAGAUUAAAUAAUAUAUCUGUAAAAUCAAAAAAUAUCAGCAGGGGCACAUUCAUAUUGGAAUGACUAGAAUGGUUAUCUAUGAAACAAUUUAACCACUUAAUCGUCAAAUCCCGCCGGCGGGCAAGUUUUAGUUACACCACCAAUUUUCGACGUCAUUAGGUUGAGUGAUAUAGUCCUGUCAUUCACCGUUUGAAAGCUUAGAAUCUCAGGAAUGUCAACCAUUCGGUGGAAUAAAUAUGUUUUUGCAAAUAUAGAUCAAAUAUAUCCUAGUGUCUUAGGUCAAAAUAGCCCCCCCUCACCCUGCACAGAAAUCGAAUUUCAUUAUUAUUUUAGUCUAAUUACAUUAUGUAUAUGCACAAGCCAUCUUAUACAAAGCAUCCGAAAAAUAGAAAACCGAAACGCUGCAAUGUUUUUUUGUAGAAAACUGUGAUUUAGGGUUAGAAUUCCACUGUUGUCUGAUUCAUGGAAUCCACUGUGUUCGCCAUGGUCUCACGAUGACGUAGAGCCCUCACACAUGUCUGUAAGACCAAUACUUCCUUGUAAACAAGCCUUACAAGCCAAUGAGGCGAUCACAAUCAAAACGGGGCAUGUAUACUUUGAUUGACAGCUACACCAGCAGACAGCAAGUGUCGGAGACGGGCCUUAGAUAUUCUAAUAGCCAAUGAAAAGGCCUUUCUGACAAUAUCCAGCAUGUCAAACACCUUCUCACGUGUGGGUGAGAAAACAAAUCCGCAAGGGUUCUGCGUAAAGUGGCCUGCUCGUCACCAGAGUGCAAGUGUGGAGCAGGUGGUUGAUUUGUGUGGUUAUAUUUUUAUUCAUUUUUGUUGUAGUGUGGUUUUAUGAACAUUUUGAAAGAUGGCUAAUCGCCCGGAGAAGAAAGGAGAGGGAGGAGGGAGAAAAUCACGUAAAUACACUGUGUCAGUACAUGAUACAGUUAUUCAUACAAUUCUACAGGUUCUCAGCUUUCCAAAGAGACCAAGCAUGUGAUUAGAGGUCAUACUAUGAAGGAGCAGUGCUCUCUAGAGUAGGCGCAGUGCAAAACCUAAAAAAUGGCCAAAAACGGCCCGAAGAUUAAGUGGUUAAAGCAUUAGUACAUUCCAUCAACCUUGAGUUUUCUUCCGGCUCAUUUGCCUAAGUACCCUUUUGAAGAAUCUCUAAAGGGGCUGAAUAGCUAGGCACUCCCAAACACAGUGUAUUAAAGUGCCUGCUUCUUUCUGACAAAUCCAACAUAAAUUGUUAUUCAUUACUCCCAUUCUAUAUAAUCUCAGUGGUGUCCAGUAGUAUCUGUGUAUUAUUAUAUAUUGGGUGAUUUUCCCUUUGGAUUCCCUUAUGUACUCUCCAUUGAUAUAAUUUCAACCAUGUACUGUCCUUCGUUAUACAUCCUACAUCUUUCUCCCAGAUUACUUUUAGGUUAUGACAGUCAUUGCUAAGAAAUUGGUUGGUUUUCCUAUCAAAUACAGAAGUUCGGUUGCACUCCCCAGGUAGUUUGAAGUAAUCCAUGAUGUGGUUUCCAUCUCUGUACUGAAUCUUGGAGGUAAUACAGCAAGAGCCUUUUACAGCUACAAGCUUCUUGCAAAAUUUGUAUUGUCCCUUGAGCUUAUAUUUUCUCACUCAGUGCGAGUAAUAUAUAUCCACAUCAUCUUCAAAUAGACCAUUGAUGGUACAUAUACCACUACUAUGCCACUUCUUCCAAAAUACUGAUUUCUUUCCAAUUCUUAUCAUAGUUAUACCAUAAGGAGGUGUAGGAUGCUUAGAAUGUGUCAAUUUAAACGUAUGUAUUUUAGUCCAUAUCUCUUUGGAGUGUAUCAUGAUAGGAUUGGUUAAAUUGAGGGAACACAGAGAACAUCUAUUGCUGAAAAAGGGAGUGCCAACUUAUUUUCAAUAGCACCCCAGUACAUUUUUUUAAUCUUUAUUCCAGUGUGAUUAUUUUGGCCAUUUCGAAAUUUUCCCCAAUUAUCUAAUUAGUUUACAUUUUACAAGUACUGGUUCAAAGUUUAAUGCCAACAUUUCUUCCACAUCCUUGUGUAAUUUUAUUUCCAAAUAUUGAAUCCCUUUUGGUACCCAUUUAAACCCAAAGUUUGUCAUUAAAGGGUAAUUCCGGUGUAAAAUGGAUUUGGGAUAUGUUUUGUAUGAUAACGAGUUGAAACCUUCGUUUAGGAGCACAAAAACCGCAGACCCUUUCUUCAGUAGGCUGUUUUUAGCCGAUUCUAUCAGAACACUAUAAACUUGGAACGAUGGGGGCACUGGUUAUGGUAAAAACUAAAUCGCUAUUUCUAACCACUUAAAAGGCUAAAAGUAGCCCGACCCUUCUUUGGUAGUAUAAUAAGGGUCAUACCAUAUAAAAUAAGGCAUUGAGAACUUUGUAAGCGUGCAGAUGUUUAUUAAAAUGGACAUUUUAUGCACACAAAACCAUCAGUAGAUCACCCAUUUUGUUUUUAAAGGUCCCAUGACAUGAAAAUCUCAAUUUAUGAGGUUUUCUAACAUAAAUAUGAGUUCCCCUAGCCUGCCUAUGGUCCCCCAGUGGCUAAAACUUGCGUUUGGUGUAAAACGAGCACUAGCUGUUCUG